rnacentral:lncRNA from 1 species
UCUCUUUAUAUCAUGUACUGAUAUCUGUAUUAAGUUAUUAGAUAAACUAUGUCUGAUUCAGUUUAUCUCCGUAUCAUUCGAAUGUUUUUGCCAGAUAAUUUCAUUGUAUGUAUCUAUUUUUCACUGUAUCAUGUCUUAAAGUCUAUGUAUGUUUGUAAUCGUAUGAGAAUCCUGUGAAUAGUUUAAUACUAGCUUGUGAGAUAGUCACUACCCUUUAUGGAUGAUCAAGUAAAUCCUCUCCGGAAGUGUAACCAGAGUCUCCUGGAGGGAGAGCGAAGAGUUUGUGAAUAGAUCUAUUCGGGACUGACAAUCCCACACCUUAACUGCUAGCUACAGUUAGGCGGGCACGCCUGGGGUGACAAAUUCUGGAUAUCAUUCGACGUCUGACUAACGUCAAGGAGGUCUCGUUGUCAUAUCAGUAUGGUUACCCGACUCACAAUACGUAUUAAUAUAAACUUAUUCACAGCUAGGAUUUGUUUAGAAUCUAAAUCUUGUUCGGGAUGGUAAUCCCAUGGUCUUGUAAUCUAUAUCUCGUUCGGGAUGGUAAUCCCAUGGUUUUAUGUCUAUAUCUCGUUCGGGAUGAUAAUCCCAUGAUCUUGUGUCUAUAUUUCGUUCGGGAUGGCAAUCCCAUGGUUUUGAAACUAAAUCUUAUACGGGAUGAUAAUCCCAUGAUUUUAUCAAUCUAUCAUAUAUCUAGUUUCGGGAUAGUGAUCCCAUGGUUUAUCAAACUAUCUUAUAUCUACUUUCGGGAUAGUAAUCCCAUGGUUUUUAUCGAAUUAUCUUAUAACUGGUUCGGGAUGUAGUCCCAAGGUUUUCAAAAUACUUUCUAUUUACAGUUCGUCUAAAUUAUAGUUUUGUGUAUUAAACUAUACUAUGUGUUAUCUAAUCAAUCUUACAAUUAGGAAAAUAUGGGAUUUUCCUGGGGUUAACUUAUAUCUGUAACAGAACUGUAAUGAAAGAUAACUUAACUACUUUACAUAAGAAAAUAUGGGAUUUUCUUGGAUAUCAAAUCUUUUCAGAAAACUAAAGGAAAUCGAUACAUUUUCACAAAACAAAACCGCUUAUGAACUCACCAGCUUUAUGCUGAUUUUCAAACUGCUUGUAUUCUCAGGUCCAAGUUAGACAGGUACCCGGCGAUAUCUUUUGGUGAAGAUGGAGUGCUCCGAAGACUCGUCUCUUUUGUUCAUAUGAUAUAUGUAUAACUUUUGUACAAUUUACUUUUGAACCAAAUGUAAACUUUCAUAUAUAUGUAAUGUAAUGGUUGUUUACUGUGAUUACUAUGUACAUUGGAUUUGAUACACAACAUGGAGUCAACCCCGGGAACGUUUCCGCCUUUGGUUUUCGGGGUGUGACAGAUUGGUAUCAGAGCCCUUGUUUAUAGUGAACAGAGUAUACCAAACCUUACAUGGUAUAAAACUAUAAACAUUAAGGGGCCUAAGUGCUCUGAACUAAAAGUAUCCUACAAAAUAUAAGUAUUUUCAAAAGUAUUUAAGUAUGCCGAGCCGUCGAAAUCCGUAACUAUAAGUAGAACAAAACAUAAGUAAAUGGGUGUUGUACACUGCGGUUAAACCUGGGCAGUUAUGUAGUCGUGUCUAGGGUCAAUAUAGCCUGGCCAACUAUAUUCAUUCGAGACACGGCCAACAUGUGCUUGGGAGUGACUGUGGCAUGCGGCAUACCUAAAACUUACCCAAUAUCCCAAACAACAAAUCGUCGCUGCAGCGAACCAUGAAAUACUAUGGGAGUAUUUCUCGAGCCGAUCCUUUGUAGAAAUUCUCGUAUACGCGUUAUUCCUUGAUCAUUCCUCUAGCGAUAAAAUGUUCUAUCUUGAUAACUCCUUUCUGCUUUAUCGCUUUGUAUGAUGCUAUAUUUGCCUUGAUGAGAUAUCUCCUGUCCCAUAUCUCUUGAUUCAAUUCAGAGGACUUAUGAUCCUCUCUUUCCUGAUCUUUUUAGAUCAAGAUGCCUCCAAGAAAGAGACCCAGCUCAACGAACAACAACAAUCCUCCUCCGCCACCACCUCCUAUUCAAAUCGAUUUGGAAACACUUCAGGCAACCAUUUCUGCUACCAUAUCAGCUCUCUUACCUCAACUGAACUCUAGGGGUUCGGGAGGUGAAACCCAAAACCCAGAUGAUAGCCAGGGACACCAAAAAGGGGGUUCCUAUAAAGACUUCAUGAACGCAAAACCGACAUUCUUCGAUGGCACAGGGGGUGUCAUUGCCUUAACCCGAUGGUUCGAGAGAAUCGAAUCAAUCUUUGAAAUAUGCGGCUGUUCGGAGUCUGAUAGAGUCAAGUUUGCCGCCUGUACCUUCCUAGACAAAGCCCUGACUUGGUGGAAUGGCCGAGUCAAAUCCUUAACUUUACCUGUAGCCAAUGCUAUGGGUUGGGAAGCUAUGAAGGAGCUUCUUCUCGCAGAGUAUUGCCCUCGGGGCGAACUUCAGAAGCUAGAACACGAACUUUGGAACCUUAAGAUGAAGGGUUCCGACAUAGCUGCUUAUACCUCAAGAUUCGAUGAUCUGGCAUUACUUUGUCCGGGAAUGGUUACCCCGGAGAGUAAAAAGAUAGAGAGGUUCAUCUGGGGGUUGACCCAGCCAACAAAGGGGAAUGUCUUGGCUGCGAAGCCAGACACAUAUGACAGUGCUAAAUGUCUUGCGAAAAUCUUGAUCGAUCACGAAGACAACUCUGAUGAGGAAGCUACCACCCCCGAGCCAGUCACCAGUGGAGGCGGAAGCAAAAAGAAAUCCUGGAACAAGCGGAAGGCCCAGAGUACGCAAGGGUCUUCUAAGAAACAGCAAACGGUAGCAGUCCAUGCUGCUACUGCCCCUGUUGCUGUUUCAGCUGUCGGUUCCACAGCCCAAACUCCCGCCAGUGGAUACACUGGUACCCUUCCUUGGUGUGGUAAGUGUAACUACCACCACCGCAUUCCUGGUCCAUGUCGCGAAAGGAUCUGCGACAACUGUGGCAAUAAGGGCCAUCUUGCGCGAACCUGCAGAAAACCAGCCAAAUCAACGAACCAAUCAUCCGGAGCGGGAAUUAGUCCGGCCUGUUACAAUUGUGGUGAAGCUGGGCACUUCAAAAGGAAUUGCCCCAAGACAGCUACAACCACAAAUCCCUCUGCUGCCGCAGGUAUAUCUCUCUUUGAUAAUUCUUAUACUUGCAACUCUUUUCGAUUUUGGGUGCAAAAGGGAAACCUGUUAUCUAUCUAUUCGAACGUAUUCUAAACUCAAUCCUUCGCAUGUAAUCGAAAUGUAUACCGUCGAGACGACUAACUAGUGAGAUAGAGAACACUAACUUCGUACCUAUAGAUUGAAUCCUCAGUCCGGAGGACUAUUCUGUUCCAUUCGAUUUAAAAAGGGGGAAACUUUCCAUGAAAAUACUUUGAUGCUAUGUUUAACAAGAAAUGACCGAGUCUCAUUCAUGUUGUUAUCUUUACUUUCGAAAGGGUCGCUCGUCUAGAUUUUUCCUCGACCCUGUUCUCGUGAUCUUCGGCAUCAAACUUUCGUAUCAUUCUAUGCCUUAGAACUCAAAAGUUUUCCCAAUGUGAAUUACCACGCAUCCCUCGUUUCUGUGAUUAUUGAGAAACGGGAAGUUAGCAGCUCUUCCCUCUAAAUGUCUAUCCCGAAGGAUUCCCGGGAGUUUCUUUCGAGCAUCUAGUUUAGUCUCACAUCAGACCUUUCGAGAUCUUCGUAGAGAUCGAUUCUGCAACCUUCAGGUUUCGGAUGCCCUUAGAGCUUGGUAAUAUCUAUCUAGACCAUCACGUCUCGAAUCCUUAGAAACGUCUGCCCAACGAAACCCUAGUGAUUCCUUUGAGGAAACCGAAGUCGUUCAGGGUUGGAACUUCCAUGAGAAAACAGAUUGAUAUCGUAGAUUGAGAGAGAGUCAAGAAGCGAAACCAAGACAUGUCCCGAUAAUGAGAAUUCGUUAGAACGCCCAGUAGAGACCUGAUUCCACUUGAGAAAGUGAAGAUCCGAAGCAACAAAUCCAUUCGUGUUUCAUUCCAAUCCAUGACCUGUAUCUUAUUCUUUGAAUUUCGGGACGAAAUUCCCUCUAACGGGGGGAUAAUGUAACAACCCGAAGUUGUUCAUCGCCGAAAACCCAUUCUACCCGUAUAACUCGUCGGAGAUCGAAAUGUCCCGAUAUCGUUUUUGGGUUUAGUUAACUAAAAUUAUAUGUUUAUUAUCAUUCAAUGAGGGUCCAAAUCAUUUAGGAACUCAUGAAUUUAGCCCAAAACAUUUAUUUCAUAAGUUUUAGAAAUAUCCUCGUCGGGUGACGGAAACUCAAUCGGGUGCGACCCAAAGCAUCGUUUAAGGCCGGUAUCGGGUAGAAUUCCACCGUGUCCAAGUUUUAGGAACUAUAUAAACAUGUUUAAGCACUCAUUUGAAGCUUUUUCCUUCUCUCUCUACUCUCUCUCUAACCUCUCUCCUAAAUCCAAAGAUUAAGUGUCCAAAACUCAAAUUUAAGGCUUCAAAUCCUUAAGGUACCUUCCUAGCCUUAAUCUAUAGCAUGUUUAGCUUCCAAAUUAGACACUUAAUCAUGAAAUUGGACAAUAUAUGUGAGUUUACGGCCCAGGAGGCUGCCUAGGCCGUAAACACCAUUUUGAAGGGUUUUUAGCCCUUAAACUCCUUCCUAGACUCAAUUGGACUUUAGAUAUGGCUAAGGGACUUCAAGAUAUGGACUUAGAACACUUAAAACUAUGAUUUUGAGGACUUUGAAGGAGUUUACGGCCAAGGCAUAAGCUUGGGCCGUAAACUCAUGUUAAUGGGGUUUUUCAUGCCCUUAAACCCUUCCAAAUCACCUCUAUGGCUUAGAUAUGAAUUAUAGGACCUUGGUAUUAGCAUUUGGACACUUGAAACAUGAAUUUUGGGGGAUUUAGAUGAGUUUACGGCCAAGGAUAGUGCUUGGGCCGUAAACUCCCCAAAACUUGGCAUAAAUCCAAUUCUAAGGUGUUAGAAAGCCAUCCAACACCACCAAAAGCCUUGGAAUAAAUCAAGGGACCAACCAAAAAUACUUUAAGGGCCUUAAACACAUCUUUUAUGGGAUUUCUAAGAGUUUACGGCCAAGACCUGUUCUUGGGCCGUAAACUCCAAAAUUUUUGGUGUUAGAAUGCAAACUAAACACCCCUAAAGCCCUUAGAUGAAUUUUAGAAGUCCUUUCAUGCAAGUUUUAGACCUUGAAACACAUUGUAGCUUGACAUAUUAUAGUUUACGGCCAUGAAGGGGGUUUCAUGGGCCGUAAACUCCAUAAAUCCCUCAUAUGUCCCAUAUAAACUCAUUUCUAGGCUUGUGGGAAUUUUUAGAAUCACAUGUGAUUGGUUUUAACAACAUUUAGCAUCAUUUUCAUAAGGAUUAAGGAGUUUACGGCCAGGAGCCUAUGCUAGGCCGUAAACUCCCAUAAAUUAAUCAUUUUGGUGAUUUUAAUCCAUUCCAUGCAUUUAGAACAAAGCCUAGAAUCAUUUCCCAUGUCCAUGUAAGCCAUUUAAGCCAUUUAAACACCCAAAACCACACCCACAUGAGUUUACGGCCGUAAACUCAUGUAUGUGUGUGUUUUGUGGUUGUAAACUCAUUUAAAAGUUUACUCAUGGGGAGUAAACUCAAGUCCCAAGUCCCUAGUGUCAUUUCCCAUCCUUAAACGCCACCCGGGUCCCUCCAAACACUCGUAUCGGAGUGUUUUCGCGACUAGAAGCAAUUGUCCCUAUCCAACAAUCAAUCUAAGUCCUAAUUAGAUACAAAUGUGUAUCUUUACAUUAUAAUUAGGAACCUCGUGUAUUUACAAGCCCCGGAUCAACUCUUAGCAUCCAAAUCGUCAUACUUCUCGUCUGGUGAGUUCAUACCCCUACGCCUUUUUCACUGUUUUUAACUGUUUUCAGGGGGGAAUACAAGCAAACCAAAACUGUUUUCAAAUCAUAACAUUUAUGUGUUUCAAAUAAUAUCUGGCAAUCUUAUAAACUCUUUUACUCCUUAUGUAUUAUGUUGAGCAUAAGGAAUGAUUUAUCAAUUACAACUAAAUGGAUUUUAGUUAAGAAAAUAACCAAACUAAUCAAAUUAUUAUGGGAAUAAUUUGGGGUUCUAUGUUUCUCUUUAUAUCAUGUACUGAUAUCUGUAUUAAGUUAUUAGAUAAACUAUGUCUGAUUCAGUUUAUCUCUGUAUCAUUCGAAUGUUUUGCCAGAUAGUCUCAUUGUAUGUAUCUAUUUUUCACUGUAUCAUGUCUUAAAAUCUUUGUAUGUUUGUUAUCGUAUGAGAAUCCUGUGAAUAGUUUAAUACUAGUUUGUGAGAUAGUCACUACCCUUUAUGGAUGAUCAAGUAAAUCCUCUCCGGAAGUGUAACCAGAGUCUCCUGGAGGGAGAGCGAGGAAUUUGUGAAUAGAUCUAUUCGGGACUGACAAUCCCACACCUUAACUGCUAGCUACAGUUAGGCGGGCACGCCUGGGGUGACAAAUUCUGGAUAUCAUUCGACGUCUGACUAACGUCAAGGAGGUCUCGUUGUCGUAUCAGUAUGGUUACCCGACUCACAAUGCGUAUUAAUAUAAACUUAUUCACAGCUAGGAUUAUGUUUAGAAUCUAUGUCUUGUCCGGGAUGAUAAUCCCAUGGUCUUGUAUCUAUAUCUCAUUCGGGAUGGUAUUCCCAUGGUUUUAUGUCUAUAUCUCGUUCGGGAUGAUAAUCCCAUGAUCUUGUGUCUAUAUUUCGUUCGGGAUGGCAAUCCCAGGGUUUUGAAACUAAAUCUUAUACGGGAUGAUAAUCCUAUGAUUUUAUCAAUCUAUCAUAUAUCUAGAUUCGGGAUAGUGAUCCCAUGGUUUAUCAAACUAAUUAUAUCUACUUUCGGGAUAGUGAUCCCAUGGUUUUUAUCGAAUUAUCUUAUAACUGGUUCGGGAUGUAGUCCCAAGGUUUUCAAAAUACUUUCUAUUUACAGUUCGUCUAAAUUAUAGUUUUGUGUAUUAAACUAUACUAUGUGUUAUCAAAUCAAUCUUACAAUUAGGAAAAUAUGGGAUUUUCCUGGGGUUAACUUAUAUCUGUAAUAGAACUGUAACGAAAGAUAACUUAACUACUUUACAUAAGAAAAUAUGGGAUUUUCUUGGAUAUCAAAUCUUUUCAGAAAACUAAAGGAAAACAAUACAUUUUCACAAAACAAAACCGCUUAUGAACUCACCAGCUUUAUGCUGAUUUUCAAGCUGCUUGUAUUCUCAGGUCCAAGUUAGACAGGUACCCGGCGAUAUCUUUUGGUGAAGAUGGAGUGCUUCGAAGACUCAUCUCUUUUGUUCAUAUGAUAUAUGUAUAACUUUUGUACAAUUUACUUUUGAACCAAAUGUAAACUUUGAUAUAUAUGUAAUGUAAUGGUCGUUUACUGUGAUUACUAUGUACAUUGGAUUUGAUACACAACAUGGAGUCGACCCCGGGAACGUUUCCGCCUUUGGUUUUCGGGGUGUGACAGAAUCGAUGUGGACGUGUUCGGCUCUUGAACCAUAGUCGGAAUUUCUAUUAGCCUCAAUAUAAUAUGAACUCAACCGGAAUGUGUUGAGGAUCUGUUCGCAACUGUCAAGUCAAGCAAAAAGUCAAAAUUAAAAUUAUGUAUCUCAUGAUAUGAACGAUCUCACUGCGAACAAACGAAUGUCCUUUACCUACGUACGAAUCGAAUAUCAACUAGGAUGAACAUUGGUCAAUGCAAAAGUCAAAAUUGGGGUAAUCGGGCUCUCUGCCUUCAUAAUUGAAAUUGUAGUCGGAAGUGGCAUGUGAACGAAUGAAAUAGGGGAGAACAGAAAGCGAACCUCUGACUGGAUUCGGUAUGGAUAUGGAUUUGCUUUGGUCUGUUGAUUUGGAACGAAAAGGUGAGAAAUCGGGAACGAAAAAAAAAGAUUCGCUUUGGGGUCUAAUCGACGAACUUCAAACGAAUUUCGGUUCGUGUGAUUGUGCUUGGAUUCACAUCUUUAUUCUUGGAACGAAAGUAUAAGUGGGAUUGAUUGGAAUCAUUCUUUGGAAUUAAGUCGAUGUUGCUGUUCGUUUGUAUUU